rnacentral:lncRNA from 1 species
UUUUAAGAUAAAGAAACUCCCACUUUUAAAGAAGUUCAUAGUUUAGCAGAGCAGACAGACACAAUUUAUAUACUGUGAUAAUGUGAUACAUACUAUUAUAGAAAUACAGUCUUUUUUUUUUUUUUUUGAGACGGAUCUUUAGUAGAGACGGGGUUUCACCAUAUUGGCCAGUCUGGUCUCGAACUCCUAACCUCCAGUGAUCCAUCUGCCUUGGCCUCUCAAAGUGCUGGGAUUACAGGUGUGCGCCACCACACCUGGCCAGAAAUACAGUCUUAAUACUGUGGGACCCUACAGGCAGACAAGUAGGGACAGGCAUUCCAAUCUUACCUAGGUCAAUAAUAGGGAGUUUGUACUACCAUACUGAUAAGAGGUAAGUAUGCUUUUUGCCUCUAAAUGAAGAGCUGAGCCAAGUGGUAGAACUCUCAUUUCAAGAUUUUGGUGACUUGGGUUUAAACAGAGUUGGAGAGGGAGAUGAAGGUAUUUACUGGUUUCUGCUCUAUCUUCCCUACUUAGUAAAACUCUCACAUUAAUCGCAGGGCCCACCAAAUUCUGCAAAAGUUACCGCUUGUUUUCCUAUUGCCUCUCAUUGAAUUGCUUCUAUUUCAACUGUCCUGGCAGGGGUUGGUCAUAGACCUUCUAGAAAAGAGUAGUGAUGAAUUAAUUCUUCUGUCAGAAAGAUAUGGGACUGCAUCCCAGUUGCCAAGGAAGUUAUCUAUUUAUUUAUUUUUUGUGCAAAUGGUGGCCUUUAAUACCAAGAACUUGCCUUCUUUCACUUCCUCAAUUCAUUCCUCUCCCUUCUCCCUUCCUCUCUCUUCCUUCUUUUCCUUCCUGCUUUUCCCUUUUCUCCUUUUUCUCCUCAUUCUCUUUACCAUCUACCUAUGUGUCCCUCCAAGCCCCUCUGCUAUUUCUCCCCUGCUCACUCCCUCUGCUGUUGUCUCCCUCAGGUUCAGCUUCCGGGGUGGGGAGGCAAGAAAGGGUCCUCAGCUCAGGGAGCACUUGUUUGUGUUCUUUAUGUCACAAGUUUUCAGGUCAGUACUGGGAGGCUUGUUGCCGUUUCCUGAUCUCCGGCCUCCUGACUUGAGCAAGAUGUCCCGGGCCAGGGAACUAAAAGCCUCAUCCACAUUCAUACUGGAUUUAGCACUAGUUUCGAAAAAUCAGAUUCCAUGCUCUCGAGCCAACUUAUCAGCCUGCCCCUUCUGCACCUUCCUCUUGGCCUCCAUGUCACAUUUGUUCCCUAGCAAGAGGCGCUCCACCCCAGCUGAGGCAUUCUCCAUGAUGCUUUUCAUCCAGUUCUGAAUAUUCUCGAAAGAUUUCUCAUCCGUGAUGUCGUAUGCUAGGAUAAUGCCCAUGGCUCCACGGUAGUAGGCAGUAGUUAUUGUCUUGAACUGCUCUUGGCCAGCCGUGUCCCAGACUUGUAGUUUGAUCUUCUUCCCCUCUAUAUCCACAGUGCGGAUCUUGAAAUCAAUUCCGAUGGUGGAGAUGUAAGUGUUGUUGAAGUUGUCCUCUGCAAAGCGAAUGAUCAGACAAGUCUUGCCCACCCCCGAGUCCCCGAUCAGCAGCAACUUGAAGAGGUGGUCAUAGGCUUUGGCCAUGGCGGACACCGGGGGAGCCGGGGGAGGGGUGGGGCUAUUUAUUUAUUUUUGAGACGGAAUCGCUCUGUUGUCCAGGCUGUAGUGCAGUCGUGUGAUCUCGGCUCACUGCUACCUCUGCCUCCCAGGUUCAAGCAAUUCUCGUGCCUCAGC